UCACAUUGUCGGAUUAUCGAACGAAAAUUAUUCCCGCAGCGGUUAUCUAAAUGUGGUUAACAAGAGAGAAAAAUAAAUAUCAUAUAUGCGUCACGCAUACAUUAAUAUUGCAAGUUUUUUAAUUUAUCGUAUUUACGAGGAAGUCUUAGAACGAUUGUUUUAUUCGACCUUUUUAUAUGAAUAUAUGUUGUUUUUUAAUCGGUACAGUAAAACAAAAAAAAAACUUUGAUAGUUAUGCAGAUACUCAAUAUUUCCGUUGACAGAAAACUAAAUUUAUUUUUUUGUUUUUUAUGACUACACAGAGAAUUCGAUUAUGAUCAUUUAUCAGAAUAAUAUACGCGCAUGUUGAUUGAACGUGAUUUUCGAACCGUUAAUAACUUAUAUAGAAUCGAACAUAUUGAAGGGGAAAAAAACAUUCUUA